CUUGUAACGGACCUUCGGAUUACCUCCGGCUGAUGCGUGAGGGAUUUUGGAAGCUUAACUUGAGGAUUGAGACUUAGUGGAGCUGAUCCUGGGGAUUCCUUUGGACUGACUUGAGCUUAGUACAAGAGCCAUCUACAGGAGAGGCUA